UUCGGCCACACUAGAAUGAAACACGAGUUGCCGUACGAUCACCGUAGUUAAGCAACGUCGAGCCUAGUCAGUAUCUUGAUGGUUCAUCGCUUCGGAAUAGCAGGUGCUGUAA